rnacentral:lncRNA from 1 species
AUGGAGAAUCCUUUGAUGGCCUCUGCAUUUUUUUUUGCUCCAUUAUAUGUCUGGCCUGGAUCGUCUUCUCUUUCAACACUGUAUUUUCUGGAAAUACAGGAUGAGCCUUUUGUUACAAAUCAGGAACAAUCUAAAAGCAAGAAAUCCUAUAAAGCAGGAAAUCCUUCAGAGCAGAAACAUUCUGGAACUCUGAAAAGGAGACAGGUAGUUUUUCCUGCUCUGGAGGAGACUCUCUCUCUGGAGAACAGUUGGGAAACUGCUCUCUAAGAAGGAAAUUUUGAAGCUGCCAGGAGACUGGACUUUUCUUCAAUCAAGUCAUCUUUAAAAAAAGUGGUAGAGAUAGUGGUUAACAUUACACUGGUUGACAGUAUGUGUUAAACCCUCACUCCCCUUUUGAUCCUGUGUGAUCCUAUAUGCUGCUGAUCUCUACUGGGAUUUCUCCAGACCCAUCAGCAAGAGAACAUCAGUUGUGAGACUCCUUUGGCCUUGUUCCUAUUCAUACAAACCCUCCCUUAAUCUUAAAUACUAAUUAAGAAAUUAAUUAGAGUAGCAUAGAAAGUUGUUAGUGGGGUUAGAACUGACUUUGAAGUUUUAAGUUUAGAUCUCCCCAAUCCCCUUCCUUUCCUUCCCUUAGCUUAAUAAUUAAUUAAUUAAUUAAUUAUAAGUUAUUUAUUUAAGGGUCUAUUAUUCUACUCACCUAUUUCAAUUGGUGAGGCAGUGGGUCAAAUCUACAAAAAGUGGCUUAGGCCAGAGUAGCUCAGAGAGAUCUGUAGGCCUGGCAGUUGGAAGAUCUUGCAACAUUCUAUUUUGCUUCCCAGCACCUGGUUGCUCUCCAUGGUCCUGGAACAUAGAAUACUGACUUUUGAUUGACCCUAGAGAGGAUUUAAAAGUUAAAGGGUAAAAGCCUGUGUUUUAGGGGGGAAAUUUUUUUUAGCUUUUUUAUUUUCUUUUUUAUUGACAUUUACUAUUGGGAAUCAAGGUGCAUACUAACAACAUGUAUCCUAUCGUAUAUAACAACUUUAUUUAUACAUUUGGCAUCAUGUCAGGAGACAUGAUAAAUGCUAUUUUCCUCUUUUUCUGGGUCUGUUUCAUGUAAAUCUCUUAUGGGAUUUUCACCCUUUUUCCUCAAUUGUGUUAUAUGAUACUAGGUUAUGGAUGGAUAGAACCGGUUAUGUCAUUAACUCUAAGAACAAUUUUUUCCUAUGUAUCUUUACUAUGCUUAUAUUUGAUGGUGUUAUACAAAUUCAGAUUUGGUUUUUAGAAUUGGUAAUAAAAUAAGAGCAAUUGUGCA